GGCCGCCAGAAAAAUCUUCACUAUCAAAUAAUAGUUAUACAAAGUUCUUCUCUAGCUAAAACUAGAGCUAAUCAACAACUAGAGAAACAAUUGGAGAAAUCUCACCAAAUAAGUGACUCAACAAAUACACCCUGGAUUUGUUCCUAGAGAGCUUCAAACCCGAUCUUCACCGUUCAGAAUGUCAAACUCUGAAUCAUAAACCUCCUGACAAGGUUCCAACUCAAUCGGACCACGGAUCGACUUCCGUUCAACCAACUCUCCCUUCUCCUUUUUCUCUCUCUGCUUUUCCUGGCUUUUCUUCUUUCUCUGCUUGGUUUUCGACACACACCUUAAACAACCCCACCUCUUUUUUAUUAAGUAGCUAGGGCUCUGUGUAAAAUAAAAGAUCAAGGCCCAUGGCCUUUACUUGGUCCAAAACCACUUACAUGGGACUGGACCCCAUUUUCCUAACAAUCUCCCCCUCCAGUCCCAUUAGAAGGAGAUUCAUCACCAUAGCAAUUUCAUUUGGAACUUACC
rnacentral:lncRNA from 1 species